rnacentral:rRNA from 1 species
UCUGACAAUCCUAGAGAUAGGACGUCCCCUUUCGGGGGCAGAGUGACAGGUGGUGCAUGGUUGUCGUCAGCUCGUGUCGUGAUAUGUUGGGUUAAGUCCCGCAACGAGCGCAACCCUUGAUCUUAGUUGCCAGCAUUCAGUUGGGCACUCUAAGGUGACUGCCGGUGACAAACCGGAGGAAGGUGGGGAUGACGUCAAAUCAUCAUGCCCCUUAUGACCUGGGCUACACACGUGCUACAAUGGACAGAACAAAGGGCAGCGAAACCGCGAGGUUAAGCCAAUCCCACAAAUCUGUUCUCAGUUCGGAUCGCAGUCUGCAACUCGACUGCGUGAAGCUGGAAUCGCUAGUAAUCGCGGAUCAGCAUGCCGCGGUGAAUACGUUCCCGGGCCUUGUACACACCGCCCGUCACACCACGAGAGUUUGUAACACCCGAAGUCGGUGAGGUAACC